GACGAACGCUGGCGGCGUGCUUAACACAUGCAAGUCGAACGGAAAGGCCCUGCUUUUGUGGGGUGCUCGAGUGGCGAAAGGGUGAGUAACACGUGAGUAACCUGCCCUCGACUUUGGGAUAACUUCAGGAAACUGGGGCUAAUACCGGAUAGGAGCUCCUGCUGCAUGGUGGGGGUUGGAAAGUUUCGGCGGUUGGGGAUGGACUCGCGGCUUAUCAGCUUGUUGGUGGGGUAGUGGCUUACCAAGGCUUUGACGGGUAGCCGGCCUGAGAGGGUGACCGGCCACAUUGGGACUGAGAUACGGCCCAGACUCCUACGGGAGGCAGCAGUGGGGAAUAUUGCACAAUGGGCGGAAGCCUGAUGCAGCAACGCCGCGUGCGGGAUGACGGCCUUCGGGUUGUAAACCGCUUUCGCCUGUGACGAAGCGUGAGUGACGGUAAUGGGUAAAGAAGCACCGGCUAACUACGUG
rnacentral:rRNA from 1 species